GACGAACGCUGGCGGCGUGCCUAAUACAUGCAAGUUGAGCGCUGAAGGUUGGUACUUGUACCACCUGGAUGAGCAGCGAACGGGUGAGUAACGCGUGGGGAAUCUGCCUUUGAGCGGGGGACAACAUUUGGAAACGAAUGCUAAUACCGCAUAAAAACUUUAAACACAAGUUUUAAGUUUGAAAGAUGCAAUUGCAUCACUCAAAGAUGAUCCCGCGUUGUAUUAGCUAGUUGGUGAGGUAAAGGCUCACCAAGGCGAUGAUACAUAGCCGACCUGAGAGGGUGAUCGGCCACAAUGGGACUGAGACACGGCCCAAACUCCUACGGGAGGCAGCGGUAGGGAAUCUUCGGAAAUGGGGGAAAGUCUGACCGAGCAACGCCGCGUGAGUGAAGAAGGUUUUCGGAUCGUAAAACUCUGUUGGUAGAGAAGAACGUUGGUGAGAGUGGAAAGCUCAUCAAGUGACGGUAACUACCCAGAAAGGGACGGCUAACUACGUG
rnacentral:rRNA from 1 species